rfam:Myotis davidii contig172251, whole genome shotgun sequence.
GCCCGUGUGGCUCAGUGGGUAGAGCGUCAGCCUGUGGACUGAAGGGUCCCAAGUUCGAUUCCCUUCAAGGGCA